rnacentral:rRNA from 1 species
GCUGGCGGCGUGCCUAACACAUUCAAGUCGAACGGAGUUAUGAGGAAGCUUGCUUUCGAGUAACUUAGUGGCGGACGGGUGAGUAAUGCAUGAGCAACCUGCCUUAAAGAGGGGGAUAACACAGAGAAAUUUGUGCUAAUACCGCAUGUGCUAUUUUGGUGGCAUCACCGGAAUAGGAAAGGAGCAAUCCGCUUUAAGAUGGGCUCAUGUCUGAUUAGAUAGUUGGUGAGGUAACGGCUCACCAAGUCUACGAUCAGUAGCCGGACUGAGAGGUUGAUCGGCCACAUUGGAACUGAGAUACGGUCCAGACUCCUACGGGAGGCAGCAGUGGGGAAUAUUGGGCAAUGGGCGCAAGCCUGACCCAGCAACGCCGCGUGAAGGAAGAAGGUCUUCGGAUUGUAAACUUCUUUUAUAAAGGAAGAACUAUGACUGUACUUUAUGAAUAAGCCACGGCUAACUACGUGCCAGCAGCCGCGGUAAUACGUAGGUGGCAAGCGUUAUCCGGAUUUACUGGGUGUAAAGGGUGAGUAGGCGGGAAAGCAAGUCAGAUGUGAAAUGCAGGGGCUUAACCCCUGAACUGCAUUUGAAACUGCAUUUCUUGAGUAUCGGAGAGGUAAUUGGAAUUCCCAGUGUAGCGGUGAAAUGCGUAGAGAUUGGGAGGAACACCAGUGGCGAAGGCGGAUUACUGGACGAUAACUGACGCUGAGGCACGAAAGUGUGGGGAGCAAACAGGAUUAGAUACCCUGGUAGUCCACACCGUAAACGAUGAAUACUAGGUGUAGGCAAGAAAUUGUCUGUGCCGCAGUUAACACAAUAAGUAUUCCACCUGGGGAGUACGGCCGCAAGGUUGAAACUCAAAGGAAUUGACGGGAGCCCGCACAAGCAGUGGAGUAUGUGGAUUAAUUCGACGCAACGCGAAGAACCUUACCAGAAUUUGACAUCCCGGGAAGUCGGCGUAAUGGCUGAUGUGCCCUUCGGGGAACCCGGAGACAGGUGGUGCAUGGUUGUCGUCAGCUCGUGUCGUGAGAUGUUGGGUUAAGUCCCGCAACGAGCGCAACCCUUACUGUUAGUUGCUACGCAAGAGCACUCUAACAGGACUGCCGUUGACAAAACGGAGGAAGGUGGGGACGACGUCAAAUCAUCAUGCCCCUUACGUUCUGGGCUUCACACGUACUACAAUGGCGUAAACAAAGGGGAGCAAUGCCGCGAGGCGGAGCAAAUCCCAAAAUAACGUCCCAGUUCAGAUUGCAGGCUGCAACUCGCCUGCAUGAAGCUGGAAUUGCUAGUAAUCGCAGAUCAGCAUGCCGCGGUGAAUACGUUCCCGGG